UUUGAAAUGCGGAACCAUAGUCUGCCCUUGAAUUCUUUGUGCAAGCUCGCACUGAAAAUGGCAAGGCGAUUGUUCAAUGGAGUUUCUUCGCGCACGAGUCUCCCUUCGCGUCGGCGCGUCCUUUCACCACCAACCUUGCAUUCGCGGCGCUUCAGUUCACACAAUAACGGAGAUUGAAUCCAUUCACCUUGUGCUCAUCAAUCAUCGUGGAUUCACGUCUUGGAUGCGGUAUCAUCCGUCGAUUUCCAAGUGGUCGCGGCUUCGUAUUUAGAAAACUCGACUCGUUGCUCAUGAUUCGUGUUUCAACCGUUCCCAGCUCCUUGCAUCAUCGUCGCGUGAGGGUGUCAGUGUUCGUCGCAACUCCCCAUGGCAUCGCUUUCUUCAUUAGACUUUAAUUGCGUCCAGAGAUAUCGAAGCAACAAGGAGUGUGUCGUGCUUAUGCAUCAGGCGUCCCAGAGCAUCAUCUUCGAAUUGGUGGGACGCACUACAAGUUUAUCAUUGUGUUUACAGAUUCGUAACAGCGACGACGUCGCGUUCGUGCAUCAAGGAUCCAAAGCGAAUUAUUCAAGCUUAAACUAACGUGGAUUUACCGGCUUCGUCUCUACGGAAAAACAGGUACGAAUCCUUGCUUCUUUAUGCUUCUUCUUCACCUAUCCUUCUUUAUGCUUCUUCUCUACGGAAAAACAGGUACGAAUCCUUGCUUCUUCUUCACGUAUCCUUGGGUGAAGAAGAUGCCACUGAGAGAAUGAAUAAUUGAAGGAUUGGAGGAGGUUGAAGAAGGUUUGGGAAUUCUGUUGUGUGGUUGUUACAGGUUGAAUAGAAGAUGAUGGAUGAUGGUGAAACUCGGUCGCGGCAUUGAAGAACAAUAGUGCAGUGUGUAUUCUUUUGAUUCAGAAUUGAGUCUUUUGAUGCAAAAUAGAGAAGAAGAUUGAGAGUGAGAAUCGAUUGGUUGAAUAUGGAGAUUGAAGAGUAGAGAAUUUUGUUGAAGAUGAAGAAUGGAUUGAAGCAGAAGGUUGAAGAAGGAGAUGAAAGAAUGGACCCUUCGUGCAGAGUGAAGUAUUUAUAGUUUUUUUUUUGUUAUCGAAUCAGUUAGGAAUAUGAGUGAAAUUCAACUUAAAUGAAAGUUAAAUCCGAGAGUUGGUUAGAGAUGAACAAAAUCUGUUAACAGGUGAUGGUUGAAGGAGUCAUGUGAAAUUUACGGAUCGAAGAUCAUGACCUGUUAAAUAGGUUUUGUUUCAAAUGCAGGGAAAAUGCAGGUGGAUUACCAACCUUUUGCAAGUGAAUUAAUGGAUAUGGUUAGCUCAGUUAGGUUAGGAGAUGUUUGGAAAACCAUGGUGUUAAGUUGAAUUCAUGUUCGGAUUUUUGUUCGUGGAAUGUUGUAAACCAGAGUUGCUUGGAGUUGGCUAUGGAUUGUUAAUCUGAGAUGCAAUAGAAUUGGUUUUUUUGAAUUGAAAUGUAGAUUUGUAAAUAUCAUGGAUGUACACUUGUAAUUUUAAAUGUUAAUUUGGAUAUUCUAAAUCAUUUGAAUGGUAUUAGAUUUGAUUUGAGUUAACUUUGAAAGUGUUUUGAAUUAUUCAUGUAAAAUAAUAGUAAUGGAAAUACAAUAUUUGUAGAUUAA